rnacentral:rRNA from 1 species
UACAGAGGGGGCAAGCGUUAUUCGGAAUUAUUGGGCUUAAAGGGCGCGUAGGCGGCUUGGCAAGUGGAAGGUGAAAUCCCUCGGCUUAACCGAGGAACUGCCCUCCAAACUGCUUUGCUUGAGGCCGGGAGAGGUGAGUGGAAUUCCCAGUGUAGCGGUGAAAUGCGCAGAUAUCAGGAAGAACACCCGUGGCGAAAGCGGCUCUCUGGAACGGUACUGACGCUGAGACGCGAAAGCGUGGGGAGCGAACAGG